rnacentral:rRNA from 1 species
UGACGUGCUUGCACUGAUUUNAACAAUGAAGCGAGUGGCGAACUGGUGAGUAACACGUGGGAAAUCUGCCCAGAAGCAGGGGAUAACACUUGGAAACAGGUGCUAAUACCGUAUAACAACAAAAUCCGCAUGGAUUUUGUUUGAAAGGUGGCUUCGGCUAUCACUUCUGGAUGAUCCCGCGGCGUAUUAGUUAGUUGGUGAGGUAAAGGCCCACCAAGACNAUGAUACGUAGCCGACCUGAGAGGGUAAUCGGCCACAUUGGGACUGAGACACGGCCCAAACUCCUACGGGAGGCAGCAGUAGGGAAUCUUCCACAAUGGACGAAAGUCUGAUGGAGCAAUGCCGCGUGAGUGAAGAAGGGUUUCGGCUCGUAAAACUCUGUUGUUAAAGAAGAACACCUUUGAGAGUAACUGUUCAAGGGUUGACGGUAUUUAACCNNAAAGCCACGGCUAANNACGUGCCNNCANCCGCGGUAAUA